rnacentral:rRNA from 1 species
UACGUAGGGGGCUAGCGUUGUCCGGAUUUAUUGGGCGUAAAGAGCGUGUAGGCGGCCACACAGGUCAGCUGUGAAAACUCGAGGCUCAACCUCGAGACGUCGGUUGAAACCGUAUGGCUAGAGUCCGGAAGAGGAGAGUGGAAUUCCCGGUGUAGCGGUGAAAUGCGCAGAUAUCGGGAAGAACACCCGUGGCGAAGGCGGCUCUCUGGGACGGUACUGACGCUGAGGAGCGAAAGCGUGGGGAGCGAACAGG